GGGUAGGCUUAGCUCAGCUGGGAGAGCGCCUGCUUUGCACGCAGGAGGUCAGCGGUUCGAUCCCGCUAGGCUCCCACCA
rnacentral:tRNA from 1 species